rnacentral:ncRNA from 2 species
CCGGUGGACCGUGACUGGCGCGUGAAGAUGGAGAACCAUCGGGGAGCGGUCCCGUCACACGGACGUACGCCGAGCGCCUGGGCCUUCUUC